rnacentral:tRNA from 1 species
AGCAACAUGGCGCAGCUGGAAGCGCGCGGGGCUCAUAACCCCGAGGUCACUCGAUCGAAACAAGUUGUUGCUA